CCGGAGGAAGGUGGGGAUGACGUCAAGUCAUCAUCGGCCCUUACGGCCGAGGGCUACACACGUGCUACAAUGGUCGGUACAGAGGGUUGCCAAGCCGCGAGGUGGAGCUAAUCUCACAAAACCGAUCGUAGUCCGGAUCGCAGUCUGCAACUCGACUGCGUGAAGUCGGAAUCGCUAGUAAUCGUGAAUCAGAAUGUCACGGUGAAUACGUUCCCGGGCCUU
rnacentral:rRNA from 1 species